rnacentral:tRNA from 11 species
CGGGGUGUGGCGCAGCUUGGUAGCGCAUCCGCUUUGGGAGCGGAGGGUCGCAGGUUCAAAUCCUGUCACCCCGACCA